rnacentral:rRNA from 1 species
AGACGUAGGGGGCGAGCGUUGUCCGGAAUUACUGGGCGUAAAGAGCACGUAGGCGGAUUAUUAAGUCAGGUGUGAAAGACCGUGGCUCAACCACGGGGUUGCACUUGAAACUGGAAAUCUUGAGGGCAGGAGAGGGCAGUAGAAUUCCUGGUGUAGCGGUGAAAUGCGUAGAAAUCAGGAGGAAUACCAGUGGCGAAGGCGGCUGCCUGGACUGACCCUGACGCUGAGGUGCGAAAGCGUGGGUAGCAAACAGGAUUAGAUACCCUGGUAGUCCACGCCGUAAACGAUGGAUACUAGGUGUAGGAGGUAUCGACCCCUUCUGUGCCGCAGCUAACGCAAUAAGUAUCCCGCCUGGGGAGUACGGUCGCAAGGCUGAA